UACGUAGGGUGCAAGCGUUGUCCGGAAUUAUUGGGCGUAAAGAGCUCGUAGGCGGUUUGUUGCGUCGGCUGUGAAAUCCCGAGGCUCAACCUCGGGUCUGCAGUCGAUACGAGCAAACUAGAGUGUUGUAGGGGAGACUGGAAUUCCUGGUGUAGCGGUGGAAUGCGCAGAUAUCAGGAGGAACACCGAUGGCGAAGGCAGGUCUCUGGGCACUUACUGACGCUGAGGAGCGAAAGCGUGGGGAGCGAACAGG
rnacentral:rRNA from 1 species